GACGAACGCUGGCGGCGUGCUUAACACAUGCAAGUCGAACGAUGAAGUUCCUUCGGGAAUGGAUUAGUGGCGAACGGGUGAGGAACAUGUGAGAAACCUGCCUUUCAUUUUGGGAUAACUCCGGGAAACCGGGGCUAAAACCGAAUACUCCGUCUCGGCGGCAUCGCUGAGCCGGGAAAAAAUUUUGAUGAAAGAUGGUCUCGCGGCCUAUCAGCUGGUUGGUGAGGUAAUGGCUCACCAAGGCAACGACGGGUAGCCGGCCUGAGAGGGCGACCGGCCACACUGGGACUGAGACACGGCCCAGACUCCUACGGGAGGCAGCAGUGGGGAAUAUUGGGCAAUGGGCGCAAGCCUGACCCAGCGACGCCGCGUGAGGGAUGAAGGCCUUCGGGUUGUAAACCUCUUUCAGUAGGGAAGAAGCGAAAGUGACGGUACCUAAAGAAGAAGCACCGGCUAACUAUGUGCCAGCAGCCGCCGUAA
rnacentral:rRNA from 1 species